UGGAAAGUCAUCUAAGGGUAGGAUAGCGGACUUUGACUCCGUUCAUACUGGUUCGAAUCCAGUCUUUCCAGCCA
rnacentral:tRNA from 1 species